rnacentral:lncRNA from 1 species
UGUAACAGAUAGUUAUAUGAGACACAAAUGCUGCUAUCGAGCUUUGUAACAUUGCAUACAUUCUUCUAUAUGAAAUUUCAAGACACACCAUUCUGGGAGUCAAGUCAGCCUGGAAAAAUAAUUCAGUCAACACGGGAGGAUACUUGUGGAAGAAAUUACAAUUAAAGAGAUAGCCCUUAAGCAUGCCUGCACACAACAAGCUGAAGAUUUUCGUCAUGCUACUGACGCUGGUCACCUACACAGUCACGAUAGUGAUGAAUGCGGCAGCUGGUUCAGGAGCAUUCACAGGUGUCUUUCACACCACAGUGGGAAAUAUCUCAUUCCACCAUGACACAGACCUCACACCAGCAUCCUGGACUUUCUUCAUUUGGAAUCUUAUCUUUGUAUGGCAAUAUGCCUGGUUGGGUUAUGCAUUAUCAGGACUCUGCAGAAGGAAUGAAUUUGGCUGGGUCUACAUAUGGCCAGAUGUACUACCCCUCUCUUUUUACCUAAUGUGGAUGCUGAACAAUGCUCUAAACAUUGGAUGGCUAUUUCUGUGGGACUCACUAUAUUUCAGCCCAGCCCUGAUCCUCCUGGGACUUCUCACUGUCACCAAUUACAUGGCUCUCUUCGUUUCUCAUCGGGCUUUGUACCUUCAUACGGCUUGGUUACGUAAGAAGAGCAAAGUAGAUCUCUGGCUGGUCCGGAUCUUAGUGCAAAAUGGAAUUGCUGUAUAUGCCACUUGGACCACAAUAGCCACCCUCCUGAACUUUACAGUUGUUCUGAUCUAUGAUGGGUUUAUAUCCAAUAAGGCUGCAACCAUCAUCUCUCUGUGCAUCUUUUUCUUCGAGCUGAUAGUCUGGUUUUAUUUGGAGAACAUUGUAUUUGAUAAGUAUGUGCGUUACAACCUCACCGUCUAUCCAGUGGCUAUUUUAGCAUUAAGUGGCAUUCUCCAGAAAAAUAGUAUUUCUUCCUCUCCAGAUGCAAGCGUCAUAAUUACAGCUGUGCUCCUGGCCGUGACAUGUGUCGUACUGUGUAGUCGGCUGGGCCUCAUUCUUUGGAGACACAACAAAGAGAAGUUGAAGGAACCGGUUGCUCCAACUGAAGCCCUGUGA